UGGGGGUCCAACCUUCAGCCAUUGUUGAUUAGACGGGGAAGAGCCAUCUAACACAAACUGGACUAAUUGGAUUAUCCUCUGAUUUUCCAAUUUGGAUAAAGAAAUUCUAAUUUGCUAUGGACUAUUAAAUGCAAGGAUUGUAAACAAUUUGACUCAUGUAAUGAUCAUCUCUAUCAUGCAGAGCAAGCCCCAGUGCUUCUUGAGGCUUCAUUGUGUUCUGAUGUUACUUUCCAUGAAACUCCUGUGAAUCCUUAUACAGCAAAAUAUAGUUGUUCCUCUUUUCUGUUUCUCUUUCAGGGUACAAGAAAGGUGAUUAUAAACAUUUACAUUUGUAGUUGGGGAUGAAAGAUUUGAACUGUGCCUACCAGAGGGUCCUGAUCUGAAAAGAUCUAUGCAGAAGAAGGAUACCAUAUUGUUGACUUGAUCCAUUCAGAUUUUAGAAGCCAGCUGUCUGUACCCCACAAGUCUCGGGUUUGCAUAUCCACUAUUGCUGCUCAUAGCUCAGCAUUUCUACACGUUUCACUCUCCUAGACACAGCCAUCUGCUUGUACCUGCUUAUGCGUAUAAAGGUCUAUGCCUUAA
rnacentral:lncRNA from 10 species